rnacentral:lncRNA from 1 species
UGGGUAGUGCAAGUUGUGUUAUGAAGCAUAAGUUCAUAUUUAUGCUUUGCAUUGCUAGAAAGAUGAGUGAUCUUAUUGUUUAUCUUCUCAUGAUUAAAAAUUCUACAAAGAUAUAUUUGAGUAUCGAUCGAUGCAGGAAGUGAUUGUGGAUGCUCCUUUCAUGCAGCUUAAAGCAGAUACUCCAUCAGAAAGAUUAAUUGAUAUUAUU